rnacentral:rRNA from 1 species
GGAGAGGCAGACUGUCCUGAUCCACUGCUUUCGAGCCCGAAGUUGACUUUGAACGGCACGCCAAAGAGGGUGACAGCCCCGUAGGGCCUGGAAAUCGAGAGCAGCAGGACGAGGGUCUGUACUCAUAGAGUCGGGUUGUUUGGGAAUGCAGCCCCAAGAGGGUGGUAGACUCCAUCCAAGGCUAAAUACAGGCGCGAGACCGAUAGCUGACAAGUACCGUGAGGGAAAGGUGAAAAGCACUUUGAAGAGAGAGUUCAAUAGACCGUGAAACCGUUGGGAGGGAAGCUCAGGGUGUCGAGGUUGUCGUGCUCUGUUUGGGUUCAACUGGUGGUAGUUGGGUUGCCAGCUGCUGCCGGUGCACUCUCAUGCAGAGUUGGACCGUCAGUUGGGAAGACAUCAGGACCUGCAAUGAUCGAUGGAUGGGAGGUAAGCUUUGUGGUUCCCUCGGGUGCCCAGAGUGACGUAUAGCCGUUCCGUCGUGGUUCUGAUUGUCUUUCAGGUGUGUUUGGAUGACUGAUCGUCCAAAAUUGGAAGGUGCAGUCUCCCUCUCAUGGGAGGUCGAGCCGUUCUUGAGGUUGCGCCUCAAUGUGGUCACGUGUUCCGUUCCCUCCCCACUAUACUUCGGUGUGUGGGGCUAGGGUGCGGCACGAGCUGCAUUGAGUGUGUCCCAUCAGGAUCGUGUUCCAAGUUCUGUGCCUAGGUGACUGGCGAAGAGUCGUUACUCUGUGCCCCGUCUUGAAACACGGACCAAGGAGUGCAAGAGAUGCGCGAGUCGGAAGGGUUGUGUUGGGGUCAUUCCUUCGGGUUUGGCCUUGCCUGAGAGACCCAUGUAUCUGGAACGGGCGAAGUGAGAGCAAUUCAUGGGUGCGAGAGCCCCUUGGGGCACAUCGCUGGCCGAGCCGUAUGGUCACGCUGUGACCGGUUUCGAGUGCGAGCGUAUCUGUUGCGACCCGAAAGAUGGUGAACUAUGCCUGAGGAGGGUGAAGCCAGAGGAAACUCUGGUGGAGGCCCGUAGCGGUUCUGACGUGCAAAUCGAUCGUCGCACUUGGGUAUAGGGCGAAAGACUAAUCGAACC